rnacentral:tRNA from 2 species
GCGGCGAUCGUCUAGCCUGGUCUAGGACAUCAGCCUGCCACGCUGGUAACGCGGGUCCAAAUCCCGCUCGCCGCACCA